rnacentral:SRP_RNA from 1 species
UCAGACCCCUCGUGUGGCGGCAUCUCGCUGAACUCCCCCAGGGCCGGAAGGCAGCAAGGGCAGGCGGGCUCUGUUGGGUACACGGGGGGUCGUGCCU